rnacentral:rRNA from 1 species
CCUACGGGUGGCAGCAGUGAGGAAUAUUGGUCAAUGGGCGGGAGCCUGAACCAGCCAAGCCGCGUGAGGGAAGAAGGUACAGCGUAUCGUAAACCUCUUUUGUCAGGGAACAAAGGCGGGGACUAGUCCCCGGAUGAGGGUACCUGAAGAAAAAGCAUCGGCUACCUCCGUGCCAGCAGCCGCGGUAAUACGGAGGAUGCGAGUGUUAUCCGGAUUUAUUGGGUUUAAAGGGUGCGCAGGCGGCCUGUUAAUCCAGCGGGAAAAGCCCGGGGCUCAACCCCGGCGAGCCGUUGAAACUGGGGGGCUGGAGUUGGAGAGAAGUACGCGGAAUGCGCGGUGUAGCGGUGAAAUGCUUAGAUAUCGCGCAGAACCCCGAUUGCGAAGGCAGCGUACCGGCUCCACACUGACGCUGAGGCACGAAAGCGUGGGUAUCGAACAGGAUUAGAUACCCCUGUAGUC